rnacentral:lncRNA from 1 species
CCGACCUUAAAGACUUGAAGAAAAAAAAAAAGGUUGCUACUGCUCCAUCGGAUUUCAACUCUGAAAUUUGAAAGUCUCUCAUCUCUGAAUCAAUUUUGGUUUUCACCUUCUGUCCGCACUUUGAAAUGGUUUGAAAGUUUGUCAGUGAUUUCAGAUUUGGGUGUCCUGGAUAUUAGGAGUUGGUGUCAGUUGUUCAGAUUGUAUUUCUCUGGUCUUUUUGAACUGUUGAGUCUACUGUUCCAUUGAAUUUUGGAGUCAUUUUCUGGGUUUUAUCAUUGGAUCUAUGGCUGAUUGUUGACGUGUUCAUGCCAUGCUGAAGUCUAGAUGUUGAUUUCCCCUUGUCCACUUAUUCAUAUCAUUUCAGGUACACUCUUCUGUAACCAUGCUGGCUGUGAAAUAAAUUGGAAAAAAAUGAAUUGAAAUGAAGAUGUUGGAGCAUGAGAUAUAUUUCAGCUUGUUGGAAUAAUUUGCUUAAUUGACAUGGCCUUCCGUUUAUCCUAUGUUUGUAGUUGGUUUGUAGCUAUUGUUAGAAAUGGUUUAUGUAUUAGUUUCAUUUCAUCGACUCCC